UGUAUAUGUAUAUGUGUAUAUAUGUGUGUGUGUGUAUACACACACACACACACACACACACACACAUAUA